rnacentral:rRNA from 1 species
ACUUAAGCAUAUCAGUAAGCAGAGGAAAAGAAAACAACAGUGAUUCCCUUAGUAACUGCGAGUGAAGCGGGAAAAGCCCAUCGUUGAAUCUUCCUAGACCAUGUCUGGGACGAAAUGUGACGGUAUGGAUAGGUUCUCUACCAAUAUUUGACUGAUCAAAGUCCUCUGGAUUGAGGUGCCAAAGAGGGUGACAGCCCCGUGUAUGAUUGGACAAUGUUGGGUAUGUGACCAAUUCCGAGAGUCGGGUUGUUUGGGAAUGCAACCUAAAGUAGGUGGUAAACUCCACCCAAGGCUAAAUAUUGACACGAAACCGAUAGCGAACAAGUACUGUGAAGGAAAGUUGAAAAGCACUCUGAAAAGAGAGUGAAAAGUACGUGAAACCGCUAACGGGGAAGCGGAAGGCAGUGUCGAGAUUGAGUGAGUGAGUCGUUUCAAAUGCAUCCAACUCCAAAUCAAAAGGAAGGGUGUAUUUGGGGCGGGUAGCUUUGCUUGAUGCGUCAGGCCUAUUGGUGUGUUUUGGUUCAAUUGCUGAAUUGGCUCUCACGACACUUGUGUUUGAAUGCAAACAUGAGCUCGCGUUUGCAAUCAGUAAUCCGCCUUACGCGCUGAUAUGUAUGUGAUGAAGCGUUGGUGAUGUAUUGUCGGUUGGUGCGUUAUAGUGCUUCAUGUUGGCCACAUUGUGGUUACAUGUGGAGAAGUUGUAGUGUAGUUCAACAACCAAUGCUAGUUCCUGACGAGAUACCCAACUUUCCGA